GACGAACGCUGGCGGCGUGCUUAACACAUGCAAGUCGAACGGUAAGGCCCUUCGGGGUACACGAGUGGCGAACGGGUGAGUAACACGUGGGUGAUCUGCCCUGCACUUCGGGAUAAGCCUGGGAAACUGGGUCUAAUACCGGAUAGGACUCCUGGCUUCAUGGUUGGGGGUGGAAAGCUCUUGCGGUGUGGGAUGGGCCCGCGGCCUAUCAGCUUGUAGGUGGGGGGAUGGCCUACCAAGGCGACGACGGGUAGCCGGCCUGAGAGGGGGACCGGCCACACUGGGACUGAGAUACGGCCCAGACUCCUACGGGAGGCAGCAGUGGGGAAUAUUGCACAAUGGGCGCAAGCCUGAUGCAGCGACGCCGCGUGAGGGAUGACGGCCUUCGGGUUGUAAACCUCUUUCAGCACCGACGAAGCGCAAGUGACGGUAGGUGCAGAAGAAGGACCGGCCAACUACGUGCCAGCAGCCGCAGUAA
rnacentral:rRNA from 1 species